UCUAUCGUGAGAUAGAAAGUGAAGAUUAUUUGUGAUUGAUUAAUGAGCAAAUACCGCUACAAUCCCGAUAGCUAUACGGGACGGUUCUGACCCCGUAUCAAGUCCGGGGCAGGCCAAACCAAAGCAGAAACCGUAUACGAGGCAUUUAUGCCCGGGUAAGCAACCACAGCUCUGCUGAGCCUGUCGAAGUAUCAUUGUAAAGCCCAAAGAAUACCAAAAGUGCAUCUAUGUAGAUACGGCAGGAAUCGAGUGAAAGAAGAUGCA
rfam:Psychroflexus torquis ATCC 700755, complete genome.